CUUAGGCGAGCCCGAGGAGGCGCAGGCCUGGCCCGGGCCCCGCAGGUCAGUGUGAAGGUGGGCGCUGCUGGCGGCCGCGGGCGGGGGUGGUGGCGGAUGGGACUAGGAUCCUGGAGAAGCGGUGAGGAUGGGGAGAGGGGAAGGGGUCCAGAGAUGGGGUGAGGAGCGGCACAGGGCGCGGUGUGGGCAGGUGGGGCGGGAGGAUCCCGCAAUUGGCCCCGCCGCCUCCUCGACGCCGCUCCUCUGCGCCCUCCAUCCAUUUUCUAGCCUGAAAAGGGGGGGGGGGGCCGCAGUGCGACAGUGAAACGUAGACAAAUUCGGAAAACAACUCCCUUUCACACUCAGCGCCCCUGAGGAAAUACUGACCUCCUCGUAAAAAGGUCGCGGUUAGGCGGGUAGCCUGCAGGGGAGGGGAACCCAGAGAUCCAAAGUAGUUUGGAAAGCAUCCUGGUCUGGUGUCUGAGGCCUGAAAAGUAAUGGCAGCUGGGAUGGAGGGGAGGUUGGGGAGGAAACGCUGGAUGAGGGGGCCUGGAUUCAGGAAUGAAACCUCAGCCCCUGUCACUGUCUCCUGUCUGUCUGCAGGACUGCGUGUCUGUUCCCAGCACUCUGCAAGACUAGAAAAGGAGAAGGAACCUGUCCAGAAUCCCUGCAGGACAAGAAAAGGAGGGAAAAUCUCAACAUGGAAAAACUCUGCAAGGAAAAUGAAGGAAAGCCGGAAAGUGAGGGAAAGCCAGAGGAUGAAGUAGAGCCUGACAAUGAAGGAAAGUCGGAUGAGGAAGAAACACCAGAAGUGGAGGGGAAGUCAGCACAUGAGGGAAAGCUCCAGAACGAGGGACAACCAGAAGAUGAGGGAAAACCAGAAGACGAAGGGAAGCAAGAGAAGCAGGGCAAGUCCGAAGAUGAGGGAAAACCACCUGGUGAGGGCACGAUGGAGUCCCAGGCAAAGCCAGAGAGUGAGCCAAGGGCUGCCGAAAAGCGCCCUGCUGAAGAUUACGUACCCCGGAAAGCCAAAAGGAAAACAGACAGGGUGACAGAUGAUUC
rnacentral:lncRNA from 1 species